rnacentral:rRNA from 1 species
UACGGGGGGGAGCAAGCGUUGUUCGGAUUUACUGGGCGUAAAGGGCGCGUAGGCGGCCACCGCAAGUCGACUGUGAAAUCCCCGGGCUUAACCUGGGAACUGCAUUUGUGACUGCACGGCUAGAGUGUGUCAGAGGGGGGGUAGAAUUCCACGUGUAGCAGUGAAAUGCGUAGAGAUGUGGAGGAACACCGAUGGCGGAAGGCAGCCCCCUGGGCUGAGAUUGACGCUCAGGCACGAAAGCGUGGGGAGCAAACAGG